rnacentral:lncRNA from 1 species
CAUAAAUACUAAUUGGUUGCUAUGGUGAUCUCAAGCUUGUAACUAAAACGGAGGUAUCUAGGUAACAGUAUCUGAAGGUGAGAAUGAUGAAUGCUUCAACUCUGGAGUUUCGUAGGGAGAUGGUGCUGGAGUAUAAAAACUGGCAAAUGUAGCCUCAGCUCCAAAGGAUUGAACUUGAGAAGAUCCAACCAGUCUGUCAAAGGAGUAACAAAUUUGCAAAGGUGAGUUGAAAUAACAUGACACAUCUGGGACUGGCCUCAUUGACCUCUUUGGUAGUGGUGAUUCAUUAAGUGGUCACUUCUUGAGACAGCAAUAUCUGCUUGAACUGCUAUUAACAUUUUGAGACCUUACCCAGCUUCCUGUGCAGAGCUUGAAGUCUACUCCACGUUCAUCCAGUCAACAUGUUUUGGGGGACACACAUCACAUCCCAGACUCAAUUGCUAAAUAAAGAAUCAAGAUCUCGAACCAAACCUUUCUCCUUUCAGGAUGUUGUGUUAGAAGUGACAUACAGAUAACUUUUCGUAUUCUAUGCUCCUGAUGCCUCCAAGGAGUGAAGAGAUUUGCUCAAGGCCAGCCCAGCACCUAGUUUAUUACAGAACUAGAAUUAGAACCCGGGUUUUAUGAAGUCUCAGGCAAGCAAGAGCUCUUCAACGUCAGAAUGCUUCCUCCCGUUCUCCAGUAAUGAUUAUGAAACAUACAUUUCUCUUUGAUUCCCAGAAAUUUCCCCCUAUGGCUAACACAGUUUUACUUGAUAUGUGAGAACAUAGCACAAAAUAAAAGUUGCAUUGAGUCACAG